AUCGUGUGUGUUGGUUCGCGCUGAGGGAAGAUGGCGGCGGAUUCACCGUGAUCAGAUUAACCGCUGCGCUUAAAUCUGUGUCUGAUUAUUAUCGUGUUAUUAUCGUGUGUGUGUGUUUGUGUUGAAGAAGUGUUGAGUGAUGUCGGACUCUGAGGAGGAGAUUCAGGAGCGGCAGCUGAAGAUUGUGCUUCUGGGAGACGGAGCGUCCGGAAAGACAUCGCUCGCCAUCCGCUUUGCACAAGAGGCUUUUGGGAAACAGUAUAAACAGACAAUAGGGCUGGACUUCUUCCUCAAGAGAAUCACCCUACCAGGGAACCUGAGUGUAGCGCUGCAGGUUUGGGACAUCGGCGGACAGACCAUCGGAGGAAAGAUGCUGGACAAGUACAUCUACGGCGCGCAGGGUGUGCUGCUGGUGUAUGACAUCACUAAUUCUCAGAGUUUUGAGAAUCUUGAAGAUUGGCUGAACAUGGUGAGAAAAGCCAACGAGGAGUCAGACACACAACCUGCGAUAUCACUGAUCGGGAACAAGAUUGAUCUGGAACACAUGCGGACAGUAAAGAUGGAGAAACAUCAGCGAUUCUGUCAGGAAAACGGCCUCAUCAGUCAGUUUGUGUCUGCGAAGACGGGAGACUCUGUGUGUGUGUGUUUCCAGAGGCUGGCCGCUGAGAUUGUAGGAAUAAAGCUGAAUAAAGCCGAGAUCGAGCAGUCGCAGCGUAUUGUCAAAGCGGAGUUGGUGGACUAUCCUCAGGAUGAGGGACCAAUUAAACAAGAGAACAAUCAGAGCAAAAUCUGCACUGUCCAAUAACACACGUGGUGAAAGCAGACAUCGUGAACUACAGUCAGGAGUCGGUGGCUCGAGCCGUCAAUCCUCCUCGCAGCUCCAUGUGUGUCAUACAGUGAUCUUCAUCAUCAUCAUCAUCGUCUCGUUUACGUGAGCCUCAGUAAAGAGUCUCGAACUCAGAGUCAGUCGUUCGGACGGCGAUAAACUCAAAAUCUACACUUUAUAUUUUUCUUCCUCCUGCAUUUGCCAAUUAGAUAUUGUGUGUUACAUAAAUUAAAAA